GAUGAACGCUGGCGGCGUGCCUAAUACAUGCAAGUCGAGCGAACAGACGAGGAGCUUGCUCCUCUGACGUUAGCGGCGGACGGGUGAGUAACACGUGGAUAACCUACCUAUAAGACUGGGAUAACUUCGGGAAACCGGAGCUACUACCGGCUAAUAUAUUGAACCGCAUGGUUCAAUAGUGAAAGACGGUUUUGCUGUCACUUAUAGCUGGAUCCGCGCCGCAUUAGCUAGUUGGUAAGGUAACGGCUUACCAAGGCAACGAUGCGUAGCCGACCUGAGAGGGUGAUCGGCCACACUGGAACUGAGACACGGUCCAGACUCCUACGGGAGGCAGCAGUAGGGAAUCUUCCGCAAUGGGCGAAAGCCUGACGGAGCAACGCCGCGUGAGUGAUGAAGGUCUUCGGAUCGUAAAACUCUGUUAUUAGGGAAGAACAAAUGUAUAAGUAACUAUGCACGUCUUGACGGUACCUAAUCAGAAAGCCACGGCUAACUACGUG
rnacentral:rRNA from 1 species